UACGUAGGGUGCAAGCGUUAAUCGGAAUUACUGGGCGUAAAGCGUGCGCAGGCGGUUUUGUAAGUCUGUUGUGAAAUCCCCGGGCUCAACCUGGGGAAUGGCAAUGGAGACUGCAAGGCUAGAGUUUGGCAGAGGGGGGUAGAAUUCCACGUGUAGCAGUGAAAUGCGUAGAUAUGUGGAGGAACACCGAUGGCGAAGGCAGCCCCCUGGGUCAAAACUGACGCUCAUGCACGAAAGCGUGGGGAGCAAACAGG
rnacentral:rRNA from 1 species